GUAGGGAAUAUUGGACAAUGGGGGGAACCCUGAUCCACCCAUGCCGCGUGGAGGAAGACUGCCCUCUGGGUUGUAAACUCCUUUUAUAUGGGAAGAACCGUCCUCAUUAAUGAGUGACCUGACGGUACCAUAGGAAUAAGCACCGGCUAACUCCGUGCCAGCAGCCGCGGUAAUACGGAGGGUGCAAGCGUUAUCCGGAUUCACUGGGUUUAAAGGGUGCGUAGGCGGAUAAAUAAGUCAGUGGUGAAAUCAACGGGCUCAACCUGUUAACUGCCAUUGAUACUGUGUAUCUUGAAUAUGAGAGAGGUAGGCGGAAUGUUGCAUGUAGCGGUGAAAUGCUUAGAUAUGCUACGGAACACCGAUUGCGAAGGCAGCUUACUAUUUCGUAAUUGACGCUGAGGCACGAAAGCGUGGGUAGCGAACAGGAUUAGAAACCCUGGUAGUCC
rnacentral:rRNA from 1 species